AACACUUAGGAGAGGCUUUGCAUGUAUGUGAAUUAUGGUUUCACUAACAACUGAUGCAAAUCAGUGUCAGUGACACCACAGAGCCCCAAACGAUGUCCAUCAGCUGCCUGCUUUCCUGCAGACACUCCAUCUGCUCCAGCCGAGGGUGCUAGAGGCUCGAGUCAGAGCCCAUUGAAGUUACUGGAAGCAUUCCCGUGAAUCUUUUUGCCUCUGUGACUCAUCCGGAGCUUAUACAAUGCCCAAAAUGUCAGGCUCACAAACUGCACUGUGCAAACACGACAGCUAAAACCUAAACAAAGCACAGCGAGAGCAGUCAGCUCUCUCACACCAACGUAUGCCAGGAUUUGGUCUGCUAAAAUCAUCCCAGCUGCAGUUCUGUAUGGCAGGAGCACACAAGAGGAGGAUGAAGCUCUGAACUGCUGCCUGUUACUGAGAGGACUUUAGGAGACAAGAGAACUCACUCACAAACAGAGCCAGAGGAAUCAAUUCUGCAUCUUGAGUGAUGCUGCCAUCAGUGGGAUGAUGUGCCUAAAAGGGAAACAUGGGUCACAGUGCCUGAGUAGAUCAAACACCACAGGAGAAGUGGGAGGAAAGAGCUCUGAAAGAGCAUUAAGGCUGGGCAGAAUUCAAUGGCAGUGAGUAAAACGGGAGGAUGACAUAAAAAUAGUCAGCUGUAUCUAUAGAUUUAACUUGUCUUCUCUAAGUAGAGAUGACAGCAUUUUUCUUUCUCAAGAUUACAUAAAGGCACCCACUUCCCUGCAUGGAGCUUCCACUGAAGUCCGGUCCCCCAUCGGAUCAUGCAGUUGUUAGGACCUCUUCUCUAUGUACAAGAAAAAGAGACAACCAAAAGGCCCCCCCCAAGCCCUGAUUUACUCUUGGACCUGCACAAAACAAAACACUCUACCUGUGCUAAUUGUUCAGCAGAACUCCAUGAGGAGGAAGAAUGAGAGACUGCAGGCAGGAAAAAGGAAAAGGACUUCAGAAAUCAGAGAGAUUGAAAAUGAGGGCAAAAUCUCAAGCAGAACACCUAAUCCUGAAAUUAAACUCUGGGAUUUGCAGCA